rnacentral:misc_RNA from 1 species
GAUGAAGAACGUAGCGAAACGCGAAAGUUAAUGCGAAUUGCAGAAUUCAGUGAAUCAUCGAAUCUUUGAACGCACAUUGCGCCCGCCAGCACUCUGGCGGGCAUGCCUGUUCGAGCGUCAUUUCAACCAUCAAGCCCCAGGCUUGCGUUGGAGCCCUGCGGCUGCCGCAGCCUCCUAAAAGCAGUGGCGGGCUCGCUAUCACACCGAGUGCAGUAGAUUACUCUUCGCUCAGGGCGUGCAGCGGGUUCCGGCCGUGAAACCCCCUACUUUUAAAGGUUGACCUCGGAUCAGGUAGGAAUACCCGCUGAACUUAAGCAUAUCAAUAAGCGGAGGA